AGUGCUUUUGCUGGCAGGGAAAGUUCAGAGGAAUAUGCUUUGAGAGGUGUCAUAAUAUGAAAGGAAACAAUUAGUUCUGCCCAAGGGUGUUUCUUUGUACCGGGGCAUUGUCUCCAUAUGCUAGAUGAAAUCCAUGCCUC